GACGAACGCUGGCGGCGCGCCUAACACAUGCAAGUCGAACGGAGUCAAGAGGAGUUUGCUUUUUCUUGACUUAGUGGCGAACGGGUGAGUAACGCGUGAGUAACCUGCCCUGGAGUGGGGGACAACAGUUGGAAACGACUGCUAAUACCGCAUAAGCCCACGGCCCGGCAUCGGGCUGCGGGAAAAGGAUUUAUUCGCUUCAGGAUGGACUCGCGUCCAAUUAGCUAGUUGGUGAGGUAACGGCCCACCAAGGCGACGAUUGGUAGCCGGACUGAGAGGUCGAACGGCCACAUUGGGACUGAGACACGGCCCAGACUCCUACGGGAGGCAGCAGUGGGGGAUAUUGCACAAUGGGGGAAACCCUGAUGCAGCGACGCCGCGUGGAGGAAGAAGGUUUUCGGAUUGUAAACUCCUGUCGUUAGGGACGAAUAAUGACGGUACCUAACAAGAAAGCACCGGCUAACUACGUGCCAGCAGCCGCGGUAAAACGUAGGGUGCAAGCGUUGUCCGGAAUUACUGGGUGUAAAGGGAGCGCAGGCGGACCGGCAAGUUGGAAGUGAAAACUAUGGGCUCAACCCAUAAAUUGCUUUCAAAACUGCUGGCCUUGAGUAGUGCAGAGGUAGGUGGAAUUCCCGGUGUAGCGGUGGAAUGCGUAGAUAUCGGGAGGAACACCAGUGGCGAAGGCGACCUACUGGGCACCAACUGACGCUGAGGCUCGAAAGCAUGGGUAGCAAACAGGAUUAGAUACCCUGGUAGUCCAUGCCGUAAACGAUGAUUACUAGGUGUUGGAGGAUUGACCCCUUCAGUGCCGCAGUUAACACAAUAAGUAAUCCACCUGGGGAGUACGACCGCAAGGUUGAAACUCAAAGGAAUUGACGGGGGCCCGCACAAGCAGUGGAGUAUGUGGUUUAAUUCGAAGCAACGCGAAGAACCUUACCAGGUCUUGACAUCCGAUGCAUAGUGCAGAGAUGCAUGAAGUCCUUCGGGACAUCGAGACAGGUGGUGCAUGGUUGUCGUCAGCUCGUGUCGUGAGAUGUUGGGUUAAGUCCCGCAACGAGCGCAACCCUUAUUGCCAGUUACUACGCAAGAGGACUCUGGCGAGACUGCCGUUGACAAAACGGAGGAAGGUGGGGAUGACGUCAAAUCAUCAUGCCCUUUAUGACCUGGGCUACACACGUACUACAAUGGCGUUUAACAAAGAGAAGCAAGACCGCGAGGUGGAGCAAAACUCAAAAACAACGUCUCAGUUCAGAUUGCAGGCUGCAACUCGCCUGCAUGAAGUCGGAAUUGCUAGUAAUCGCGGAUCAGCAUGCCGCGGUGAAUACGUUCCCGGGCCU
rnacentral:rRNA from 1 species